rnacentral:tmRNA from 1 species
GGGGAUGUCAAGGUUUCGACGGGGUUAGCAGGUUAUAGACAGCAGGUCGGCGUGGUUGCCGCGAAAGACCAAAAACUCGUUUAAAUGACGAAAACAAUUACGCUUUAGCUGCUUAGUUGUCAGCUCAUCCCGGGAUACGUCUUCUGUAUGCGUAUUCCAAGGGGUGUAACCAAUAUACAGAUUACCCGCUCCGAUGUUUCUAAGGAAGCGGGGACAUUCGCGAAACUUG